GACGAACGCUGGCGGCGUGCUUAACACAUGCAAGUCGAACGGUAAGGCCCUUCGGGGUACACGAGUGGCGAACGGGUGAGUAACACGUGGGUGAUCUGCCCUGCACUUCGGGAUAAGCCUGGGAAACUGGGUCUAAUACCGGAUAGGACCACUGCCUGCAUGGGUGGUGGUGGAAAGCUUUUGCGGUGUGGGAUGGGCCCGCGGCCUAUCAGCUUGUUGGUGGGGUGAUGGCCUACCAAGGCGACGACGGGUAGCCGGCCUGAGAGGGUGACCGGCCACAGUGGGACUUAGCUACGGCCCAGACUCCUACGGGAGGCAGCAGUAGGGAAUAUUGCACAAUGGGCGCAAGCCUGAUGCAGCGACGCCGCGUGAGGGAUGACGGCCUUCGGGUUGUAAACCUCUUUCAGCACCGACGAAGCGCAAGUGACGGUAGGUGCAGAAGAAGGACCGGCCAACUACGUGCCAGCCGCCGCGGUAAAAC
rnacentral:rRNA from 1 species